AGAGUUUGAUCCUGGCUCAGAGCGAACGCUGGCGGCAGGCCUAAAACAUCCAAGUCGAGCGCCGUAGCAAUACGGAGCGGCAGACGGGUGAGUAACACGUGGGAACGUACCCUUUGGUUCGGAACAACCCAGGGAAACUUGGGCUAAUACCGGAUAAGUCCGCAAGGAGAAAGAUUUAUCGCCGAAGGAUCGGCCCGCGUCUGAUUAGCUUGUUGGUGAGGUAACGGCUCACCAAGGCGACGAUCAGUAGCUGGUCUGAGAGGAUGAUCAGCCACACUGGGACUGAGACACGGCCCAGACUCCUACGGGAGGCAGCAGUUAGGAAUCUUGGACAAUGGGCGCAAGCCUGAUCCAGCCAUGCCGCGUGAGUGAUGAAGGCCCUAGGGUUGUAAAGCUCUUUCAGCGGGGAAGAUAAUGACGGUACCCGCAGAAGAAGCCCCGGCUAACUUCGUGCCAGCAGCCGCGGUAAUACGAAGGGGGCUAGCGUUGCUCGGAAUCACUGGGCGUAAAGCGCACGUAGGCGGCUUUUUAAGUCAGGGGUGAAAUCCUGGAGCUCAACUCCAGAACUGCCUUUGAUACUGAGAAGCUAGAGUCCGGGAGAGGUGAGUGGAACUGCGAGUGUAGAGGUGAAAUUCGUAGAUAUUCGCAAGAACACCAGUGGCGAAAGCGGCUCACUGCCCCGGUACUGACGCUGAGUGCGAAAGCGUGGGGAGCAAACAGGAUUAGAUACCCUGGUAGUCCACGCCGUAAACGAUGGAUGCUAGCCGUUGGUGGGUUUACCCUUCAGUGGCGCAGCUAACGCAUUAAGCAUCCCGCCUGGGGAGUACGGUCGCAAGAUUAAAACUCAAGGAAUUGACGG
rnacentral:rRNA from 1 species